rnacentral:rRNA from 1 species
CCUACGGGAGGCAGCAGUGGGGAAUAUUGCGCAAUGGGCGAAAGCCUGACGCAGCGACGCCGCGUGGGGGACGACGGUCUUCGGAUUGUAAACCCCUUUUGGGUGGGACGAGGAAGGACGGUACCACCUGAAGAAGCCCCGGCUAACUACGUGCCAGCAGCCGCGGUAAUACGUAGGGGGCGAGCGUUGUCCGGAUUUACUGGGCGUAAAGAGCGCGUAGGCGGUCGGGUAGGUUGGGGGUGAAAGGUGCGGGCUUAACCCGCACACGUCUCCCAAGACCGCUCGACUGUGAGGGCAGUAGAGGAAGGUGGAAUUCCGGGUGUAGUGGUGAAAUGCGUAGAGAUCCGGAGGAACACCGGUGGCGAAGGCGGCCUUCUGGGCUGUCCCUGACGCUGAGGCGCGAAAGCGUGGGGAGCGAACUGAAUUAGAUACUCAGGUAGUCCACGCCCUCAACGAUGGACACUAGGUGUGGGGGGUAUCGACCCCUCCCGUGCCGGAGCUAACGCAGUAAGUGUCCCGCCUGGGGAGUACGGCCGCAAGGCUAAAACUCAAAGGAAUUGACG